UACGGAGGGAGCUAGCGUUGUUCGGAAUUACUGGGCGUAAAGGGCGCGUAGGCGGCCUUCUAAGUCGAACGUGAAAUCCCCGGGCUCAACCCGGGAACUGCGUCCGAUACUGGAAGGCUUGAAUCCGGGAGAGGGAUGUGGAAUUCCAGGUGUAGCGGUGAAAUGCGCAGAUAUCGGGAGGAACACCUAUGGCGAAGGCAGCUCGCUGGGACGUUACUGACGCUGAGACGCGAAAGCGUGGGGAGCAAACAGG
rnacentral:rRNA from 1 species